GGUUCAUUCAAAUUUCUUCCCUAUCAACUUUCGAUGGUAAGGUAUUGGCUUACCGUGGUGACAACGGGUAACGGAGGGUUAGGGCUCGACCCCGGAGAAGGAGCCUGAGAAACGGCUACUACAUCCAAGGAAGGCAGCAGGCGCGCAAAUUACCCAAUCUCAACCGGGGAGGUAGUGACAAUAAAUACUGAUACAGGGCUCUUUCGGGUCUUGUAAUUGGAAUGAGUACAAUUUAAAUCCCUUAACGAGGAACAAUUAGAGGGCAAGUCUGGUGCCAGCAGCCGCGGUAAUUCCAGCUCUAAUAGCGUAUAUNAAGGUUGUUGAGGUUAAAAAGCUCGUAGUUG
rnacentral:rRNA from 1 species